GAUGAACGCUGGCGGCGUGCUUAACACAUGCAAGUCGAACGGUGAAGCCCAGCUUGCUGGGUGGGUUAGUGGCGCAAAGGUGAGUAACACGUGAGUAACCUGCCCUUGACUCUGUGGUAAGCCUGGGAAACUGGGUCGCAUACCGGAUACAACCGUUGCCCCCAUGGGUUGGUGGUUGAAAGCUUUGGUGGGUUUGGAUGGGAUCUCGGCCUAUCAGCUUGGUGGUGGGGUAAUGGCUCACCAAGGCGACGACGGGGUGCCGGCCUGGGGGGGUGAACGGCCAACCUGGGACUGAGGAAAGGCCCAGAAUCCUUCGGGAGGCAGCAGUGGGGAAUAAUGCACAAUGGGCGAAAGGCUGAUGCAGCGAAGGCGGGUGAGGGAUGACGGCCUUCGGGUUGUAAACCUGUUUCAGCAGGGAAGAAGCGGGAGUGACGGUACCUGCAUAAGAAGCGCCGGCUAACUACGUG
rnacentral:rRNA from 1 species